rnacentral:rRNA from 1 species
GAUGAACGCCAGCUACAGGCUUAACACAUGCAAGUCGAGGGGUAACGAGAGGAAAGCUUGCUUUCCUUGCCGACGACCGGCGCACGGGUGAGUAACGCGUAUCCAACCUGCCCCCAACUAGGGAAUAACCUUGCGAAAGUAAGACUAAUACCCUAUAAUUUCCUCAGAUGUCAUCUGACGAGGAAUAAAGAUUUAUCGGUUGUGGAUGGGGAUGCGUCUGAUUAGCUUGUUGGCGGGGUAACGGCCCACCAAGGCAACGAUCAGUAGGGGUUCUGAGAGGAAGGUCCCCCCCAUUGGAACUGAGACACGGUCCAAACUCCUACGGGAGGCAGCAGUGAGGAAUAUUGGUCAAUGGGCGGAAGCCUGAACCAGCCAAGUAGCGUGCAGGAUGACGGCCCUAUGGGUUGUAAACUGCUUUUAUACAGGAAUAAAGUUAGCCACGUGUGGUUAUUUGUAGGUACUGUAUGAAUAAGGACCGGCUAAUUCCGUGCCAGCCGCCGCAGUAA